UCUAUGUGGCCAGGCUGCUGGAAGGGGCUGAGGCAGGAAGAGUGCACUGGGUCAUGGCACUGCCUCCAACACUAGACUUGGAGAUCCAGGCUAUCCGGCAGGAGCAGGACACAACAGGUACUGGCCUCUCCAGUCCUCUUUGUGGAGUGUGGCAGUGGGAGGAGUCUGAGGCUGAGCCGCAUGAGGAGGCUGAAGACCCUGCUAGAGAACAGAGAAACUUGCAGAGAGAGGCAGUACAUGCUCUAGAAGGAAGCCGAACACUGCCCUGGAGGUAAGGAGCAGGUUGA